UACGAAGGGGGCUAGCGUUGUUCGGAAUUACUGGGCGUAAAGCGCGCGCAGGCGGCUAUCCAAGUCAGUGGUGAAAGCCCGGAGCUCAACUCCGGAACUGCCAUUGAAACUGUUUAGCUUGAGGACGAGAGAGGUGAGUGGAAUUCCCAGUGUAGAGGUGAAAUUCGUAGAUAUUGGGAAGAACGCCGGUGGCGAAGGCGGCUCUCUGGCCCGCAACUGACGCUGAGGCGCGAAAGCGUGGGGAGCAAACAGG
rnacentral:rRNA from 1 species